UACUUCUUUAUGUGAGAGAGAACAUGUGUGGGAGUCAGUGGAGUCCAGGGGCCGAGCCAGGGCCCUGGGCCCCAGGGGCGAAGGUCAGCCCAGAGUGAGGCAAGUCUUGCCUUCUGACAGCCCUGGGGCUCAGGACAGGAGGCCGCACCUGGCAGCGUGGAGGGCAGCGAGGCCAGAACGAAAGCUUCCCGUAGCCCCACAGCAGUGAGAAUGGGGUCAGAGGGAGCGAGGGUGACGCUGCGUGGGUUCACCCACUUCCAAAGCCAGCCCCGCAUCUCCGGUUCCUGGUGCCCAUCAGCCCACCCACCGCACCCAGGCCCUGGCCCUAGGACAGAGGCCCCUGACUCAAGGAGGUGAAGCAGAGGAGUCUAAGUGUGACUCCCCGAAGAGCGGCGCAAUCUGUGGACCCUGGGUUCUCAGCCCCCCUCCCAGAACCACAGAGAUUGUGCAUCUCCCCGGGAGCCUUUCCCGGAAUCCGCCCGAUCUCUCUCCUUUCUUGCCACCCCCUCCCUCCUCAUCACCCCUCUGCCUCCUGUGACUCCCACUGGCUGCCCAUCCAGCUGACCCAGGACCAGGAUAAUCAGAUUACCUCGGGUCCAGAAUAAUCCAUUCCAUAUGGCUUGCCAACUCAGAGGCUCCGGGAACUAAAGGUGUGAGGAAAGGGGGUGAUCUUGGUAGGAAGGGGUUCCCGGGGAUCCUCGGGGGCCUUAGCGGGGGAAGGAGGGAGGUGGGGAGAAGUCGGGCGCCUUCCUGCUGAGCCCCCUGACUGCUCUGGGACCCGAGGGGACCACGGCCUCAUCCAUCUGGGACCCACAGGGGCUUAGGAUCUGUGCUGGGGGGCUGGGCACUCCCAGUGCCUUUUCCACUCUCUGGAUUGGGACGUGGCCACUAUAGGGUGCUGCUGCUCGGAAGGGGCUGAGGUUCAUAACUCUGGGGCAACUGUACUUUUCACACCCACAUUCUCCUGCUUUGUCCCCCCAGGGCUCUGGUGGAACAGGUCCAGGGGGAGCAUGGAAACCUUCUUCUAUCUCCAUGGGUCCCUGUGACUUGUGACAAGAUGUUGUGGGUGUUUGAGGAUUCUGGGGGAGUCUCCCCCACACCAGCACCCUCCUUCUUGGGGCAGCCUUCGGGAGGAAAGGAGCCCCUCCCGUCUUCCCGAGGAGACAGGACCGGUGCUGGGGAGAACAGAACACAGGCUUUGACCCAGGCCGAGGCAAAAGGGUCCCAACUCGGCCCCUGUUUGCCAUGUGACACAGGACCACCUCUCCACACCUCCAUUCCCUCAUCUGCAGAGGGAGGCAGUGACGCCCACAUCGCCGCAGGAUGGAGAGCUGUGACCCAGCCAUGCCCAGUGCGGUGCCAGGCCCAGGUGACAGUAACAAACGUGACCACGGCUGUGGCCAAAGGCCAGUCCACGCAGGACAACUGGAUCCAUAUGAUGUCAACACGGCAGGCAUUACCCCGUGGCUCAAGAGCAGAAGCUGGGGCCUGAGGACCCGGAGUGAGUUCCCCAUGGGACACAGGCAGUGCCUGGCAGGCCACACUCCAGAGGGGGUGUCCUAGGCUGUGUCAAGGCGGCCGCUUGUUAAUAGCAGCCCCCCACCCCGAAGGCCCUCCCUCUCAGGCUGGUGCCAGAGUGUGGUGGGAAGACCACGGCGUCGUCGGGGACACCUCCGUGAGGAGCCUCCUGGGAGACGCCCCUGCGGAUGCUAAGAGCUGCUUCCCUCUCCUGGGGCCUCUGGCUCCGGCGGGGACAGGGAUUAGGGGCCACAAGAGGAGUAUUGACAUAGCACCUUUGAUUAGCACUCCUGUGUCAGAAGGGCUGGCCGGGAAAUGAGAGCUCGGAGCCUGGAAGGUGGGAGGGGGCUGCAUCCAGGACCCAGGCCUAGGCCCGAGGAGCUGGCUGAGUCUUCUUAGCGGAAGGCUGAGACCCAGGCCUCGUAUAGAGUCCGAAGUGCUCUACCCUGGGUCCCAGAGGAGGCCGCCCUGUCCUGCCUGCCCCCACCCCGGCCAAGGGCCCCAACUGAACUCUCACCUCUGCUCAGUGGGGCUGCCCCCAGGCCUCAUUUCCCAGCCUUACACGUUGGCAGGCGGAGGCAGGCUCGGGCCAGGGGAGCAGGAGCCACUGGCUCCGGCACUUGUCAAAACACAGGCCCCUGAGGUGUGAAGGCCUCACCCUGGCAGGAGGGCCCGCAGGCCCUGCUGCCCGGAGAACUCAUUAGCUGGGGCAGCUCCCAAAUGAGCCCACAGGAGAGGCUGGCUGAUAAGGAGAUCAAAGGUGAGAGAGGCCUGGGGGAAAGGGAAAAGGCGACUGGCAGGAGGAGGCAGAGCCCAGGCUCCAGGUUGGGGAGGGGGUCCCUCCUCUGCCCGAUCUUGGCUGCAUUAGGCCCACUGGCAAUGUCCCUUGCACACACUGGCCUUGGGACCCCCCACUCCCGCGUCCAGGGUGUAGCAGGAGAGGGAGGGACUCCCUGGUGGUAGCCUCUGGGGCUGAGGCCCCCCAGCUUGGGAUGGAGGUGAAACCGGCCAUCUGCUGCACCUCUCUCAUGCCCUUUCUGGGGGCUCUUUGCCUCCACACUCGCCCAGGGGACUUCUGAGCCCUCCCCCAGCCUGACAGCAGAACUCCUCCUGUCACGGGCGCUCCAUCGCGGUGUCUCUCCUGCUCCAAGCCUCUCGGUGGUUCCCAGGCAAGGGCCCAAGGAGGUCAGAUCUUAGGUCCCCAAUGUGCGAAUCCUCAGGAGCCAGAGCUGUGUUUAGGAUAAACAGUCCGCCUCCCACACAUAUGGCCUGUUGUCCAAAAUGUGUCUGGUUGAUUCUGUGCUGAAUAAAGAGUCAUUCCA